rnacentral:rRNA from 1 species
AAUCAACGCUGGCGGCGUGCCUCAGACAUGCAAGUCGAACGAUUAAAGCUCUCUUCGGAGAGUGUAUAGAGUGGCGCACGGGUGAGUAACACGUAAGUAAUCUACCUUUGAGUGGGGAACAACGUCCGGAAACGGACGCUAAUACCGCAUAAUGCAGUGGCAUCGCAAGAUGACAGUUGUUAAAGACUUAUCGCUUGAAGAGGAGCUUGCGGCAGAUUAGCUAGUUGGUAAGGUAAUGGCUUACCAAGGCUACGAUCUGUAACCGGUCUAAGAGGACGGUCGGUCACACUGACACUGAAUAACGGGUCAGACUCCUAC